UACUGAACAGGCAUCUUAAUUUUCAGUAAUGCUAGUCAAGCAGGUCACAUCACAAGCCCCGACAGCUAAAGAUGAACUCUGUAUUCACCUGGUGCUAAUUUCUACUCUGAGUGAGAGAAUGGGGCAAGGACUUUAUUUAUACUGUAUUUGACAAGCAAUGUCCAUUCAGAUUUUGAGUGGUUAUUCUGAACAAAUCAAAGACAGGAAGGAUUUCAUAAUCUCAGAGCCUUGGCUUUUCUGGCUGAUAAUGUAGUGUCACAUGAUAUAUAUUUACUUACCUGGAAUAGUACCUAUUAAAGUUAAAUAAAAUAGGAGGGAGUUCGACUCCUUUCAAGUAAAAUAUUGAUUAGAAGAGUCACCACAGGAUAGGAAAUGUAGCAGAAUUGAAUAUUUCAGAGACUAGAAUUUCUGUGAUAAUUUCCCAAUAGCAAUGAACUGAAUUGUUGUUGUUGCUGUUGUUGUAUGAGCUUGCUGCUUCUAGAGGACUAAGGAAGCAAUGUAGAAAUGUUGAAAUCAAUGAGCAUCUGGUUUGCCCUUUCAUAUAUCUUUUUCUUGGACAGACAUCUAUAGGCGCAAAUAUACAGGAUUUCAGCUAUACUAUACUCUUUUCCUACAAUCUUUUAUUGUAACUCAAAAUGUAUGCACAGUCUCUUGUAUCAGCCAAAUAUGGGCUAAUUGAAAAUCUAAUCUUAUUCAGUUUUUUUUCCCUUUUCUCUUUCUCUUGUGCAUUACAGCUGUAUCCUAUCAUCCCCCCACAUUAUAAUACUGCAGCAUAAAACUAGCACCCAUAAUUUCAUUAUAUCAUGGCAAACAAACACAGUUUCAGUUUUAUUUAAAUAAAUAUACCAGUUUAUUUUUAAGUUGUUAACAGCUAGCCUGCUUACCCUGUGGGUUUUUUUUAUAGAUUCUUUGUUCAGUUUUGGGGGUGGGUGGGGGGAAUAUCAAGCCAAAGGGUGAUAUCUGAUUGUGGCAUUGUGCAUGCACAACAGACUGCUCCCCUACCUCUCCUGCCCACUGCUGACCCUCUAAAUCUACUCCUGAGUAUUGGUGAGUCUUUGGAACAGAGUGGGUGGAGACAGAGGUUGCCAAAUAGUAAGGGAAGUUCCAUCACGUCUGUUGAAACAAUGUUGGAUCACAUUCAAAACUUGAUUACGUUUGCUUGCUUUAAUGAGACUAUGUUGCACCGCAUAAAAAUAUAUUUUGCUACAUUUGUGUGCUCUUCUUUUUUAAAAAAAGCUUCACGAGAACCUCUAGCACAAGGAAGGUGAGGAGAGGGCAGCUAAGAUCACAAUGAAUCUUGAAUCUUCCUUUAAAAAAUACUAAUAAAGGAUUUCAAAAUUGAAGGAUUUUUUUGGUUCCUUUCCCCCUUUUUAUAGAGUUUGCACAAAAAAAUUCCCCUUCAGCAGAAAGGUGAGGCAUCUGUGACUCUCCCGAUGUUGUUGGACCAAUUCCCAAUAUCCUUAACCAUUGGCUUUGCUGUUUGUGGCUGAUGGGAAUUGGAGACCCAAUAACACCUGAAGAGCCAUUGAUUUCCCAUCUCUGAAUUAAAGGCUGGAGGAGUGAAAUAUGAUCUAGACCCAGAUGGCUGCCAAGAUACUGGCCAGAGAGCAGGGGACAGAUAACUUCAGUGGCAUUACUUAACAGCCACAACAAUUUUUCCCCUCUGUUUGAUAUGCAUAGCAGGGAAGCACACAACCUCUAAGAUAAGAAUCAAGAACUCGUGGCCCCUUCAAAUGUUGUUGUCACCCCAGUGCCCAGCAGUCCCAUCCAACAUGGCCAGUGGUCAGGGGUGGAGGGCGCUUAGUCCAGCAACUUCUGGAGAACUACAGGGUCUCCUGGUUUGUGAGGGGAAAGUGUUUCUGAAGGUCACAAAAUGUCAGUAGAACUGGGCACAAAGUGCAGAUUUGUUACUUAUCUUUCACUUGAGAGGUAAUAUCCAAGAGGUGUCCUUGACACUUGCAUAAGCAACACUGCAUACAUAACUAAUAGCCAUGCAUCCAGUAUUUGGGGGACAAAUGUCACUCUCCCAAACCAUAAAAUAUUGCGAUAUAGCCCCACAAUAGAAGCACAAGUUCUGGGGAAGGCAUAUGCAUUGUGCACUACAAAGGAUAAACAGCUGAACGUACACAAACAACUGAUUUUGUGGAAAGGCUAUUCUAGUGCAGAAUCUAAAGUCUUUGUGGACAAUUUCAACCCCCCCCCCCUUGGGUUUGGCAAGGCAUUUCCCAUUAUAUUUGACCUUACUUGAUUUUAUAGAAAGUCUUUUUUGAGAGCUUUGUUAUAUGUUGAAGUGACUCUAGCUCCAACUUUUAACACCCUUUCCCAAUUAAGAUGUUCUGGCCUUCAACUUAAAUAUCUCUUCUCAGCUGCUGCCAAUUGAUUUCUCCCCUGGUAAUGCUUCUGACUGAAAAUCUAGCAGGAAAAAAAACCAACAAUUUAAUUUCUCCCCUCCCCCCGCCCUUUUUUAAGCUAACUUGUUUUUCAAUACAAAGUAGGCAGGCUAUUGGGGAACGGCAUUUCCCCUGUGCUUAUUGGGAUUGCCAAGUUUUCUUAUGCUUAUAAAAGAAGCACAACCAUCAGAGAAGCACAGCAGACCAGUAGUGGAGCUGCAGUUUGCUCCAUUACCCUGUGGGUAGUUGUCUAUGUUUUUGCUUCUCUUCAUUCAUGGGUUGGCAAAGGCGGGGACAGCUUCCUUGACCAGUGUGCUGUAUUUCUAUGCUGGCCAUGGAGGAAGGGGCUUCACAACCUCUGUUGUCAGCAUAGAAGCUGGAAGAGGAAGAACAAAUCUCUCUCUCCACACUGUCAGCCCACACACUCACCUGAAUGAGAUUCCUGAUUGCUCAUGGUGACCAGGUGGUAAGUGAUUGUAUUCCAGGCUACUUUAACAGUAGCUUGGUUUGCAAACCUCAGGUGGUAAUAAUGUUCAUCCCCAUAGAGCAGCCUUUUCCAACCACAUAUGUUCUUGGACUACAACUCCCAUCAUUCCUCACCAGCAUGGCCAGUGGUGAACAAUGAUGGGAGCUGUAGUCCAACAACACUUAGGGACCCAGUGUUGAGAAAGGCUGCCAUAGAAUGAACUGUUUGUGAUUUCUGGGUGAGGGAAAAGCUGUUGUGAAAGGUUCAGGUGCAGAUCAAGCAUUUCCCUUCUCAUCAGCUGACUGUUUUAGAUUUCUUUCUGCUUCACCAUUGUGCCCUGAAGCUGCAGGUCACAUUUAAUGGCCGAAUUACCUUUAAUGGCACAUAUUUAGGAGUGAGACAAAAGACCAGUUCAUGCAUGCAACCAAGGGAGAGUAAAAUCCUAACGUAUAUGGUUGCUCAUUUUGUGUUAUGGCUUGGGUCUAAAAAUGCCUGAGCAAGGCUCAUGCAGUGGGGGUUUCUCACUCACUCCUCCCCACUGCAACCCCCUGAAAAGCCAUUUCUGAGAAUCUCCAGCAUGCAAUGUGAUGUGGUUGGGCAGCUCUAAAGAGAGGGAUUUGUGGAAACUGGACUUGACACAAGAAGAAUCCAGACAACAUCAUGGCAGAGGCCCAUCUAUAUGUUGCAACUGGUCCAAAGUUGGAGGACAACAAAGGUAAGCUUAUUGGUUGCACAUAGGUAGAAUUCAUUAAGAGUCAAACUUUGGAUGAAAUGCACUCUUCUCACAUUCCUGCUCCUUAUAAACUAUGAGGCUUUUGAUAAAAUGGCAGGAUGCUAAAAACAACAUGUGCUGCCUUUCUAGUAUUUGUGAUACCAUCUUUUUAUGUUUUAUGUUUUAUGUUUUAUGUAAACCUAGUAGAAAUAAUGCAAAGUCAUUAUUAUACAAAAUAUUUUUUUUAAAGAUGAAACUUGCCCUUUUCCUGACUUUGUUAACUUGUGUGCAUUGAGAUCUUUCUUUUUAAUAUGAUGCGUAUUGCUAUUGCAGUGUUUUUAAAAUUGCUGCUGCUAGUGUCACUUGUAUAGUCUUAGGUAAUGGUUCGCUAGGCACAGUCUGUUGCUUCUCAGGCCAGGAUGCUUGAGAUGAAUUUUAAUCCCGAAAUGUAGAACUCCUACUGUAUAAGGUCAUUAAACAUUAUCAACAGCUCAUUACCUUGAAAAGAGAUCUCCUUAAGAAGUCAACAGGAACCUGUGUAAUAUGAGAGAUAUAGAAGACUGAAUUUUGAGGAGAGAGGGAUAAAUUCAUUUGAAUAACUUGUACUCCUUUGGCAAAUGUUCUGAUUUGAACAUCUUAGUUUUGUUUCUCCAUCCUAUAGAGAUUAGUUAGGCAGAUUAGUUUAAUAGUGACAUCUUGAAGGGCAUCCAGAAAAAGUCUGAGGUCAAGAGGUCUGGAGCAUGACAACACGAGAACAGGCCUUUUCUGCAGUGGCUCCCUGUCUGUGCAAUGCUCUCCUCAGGGAGGUUCGUCUGGCACCUUCAUUAUACAUCUUUAGGUUCCAGGUGAAAGUGUUCCUUUUUAACCAGGUCUUUGGUUGAUCUGAUUGACAACCAAUGCCCUUUUAAAAUGUGUUUGGGGGUGUGUGUUACUGGGUUGUUGUUGUUUGUAUUUUUAUAUUGUGAUCUUAUCCUGUGAACUGCCCUGAAACCUGUGGGUAUAGGGCGGUAUACAAAUUUAAUUAAUAACAACAACAAUAAUAAUUUUAGAUGGUUGUAACUUGCCCUGGGACCUGCUAGUGAAGGAGGGUAAUAACAUGAAUAAACACGCAAGGGGUGAUUUCUGGUUUUCCACUGUUCAGCAAUAUAGGGUGACACUGAAAAGAAGGAGAGGGCUGCUGUUGAGCUGCAAUGAAUCAAUUUGUGAAUUGUUGAAGACACAGGGCCCUUUCCAUAGCCUUUUGGUGUGUGGCAGUUGCAGCAGAGAGGCAGAGAGGUAGAUUAGGUAGCUAAUGCUCAGUAGGUGCAGGAACAGCGGAAGCUUGAAUAUAAAGGGAUACAUUUCAUUUUACAUACAUGUAAAAAGCUGAACAUGGAUUAAAAGCCAUAUAAGCAAACUUAGUAGUGUCAGUUGGGAGUAGUGUGAGUUGAGUGCUGGUGGUUGCUAGGUUGCAGAGGUUCUUGUGACACACCCUUCAUUGUAACACCUCCCUCUGCUGGCUCAUUGGUCCUCUAGAGACAUAGCGAUCUCCUUUGGUUUGAUCAUUCAGCAAGUGAGAAAGAAAGUGGAUGGAGGUGUAAGUAGACUUUCUCAUCAGCAUCUGCAUUCUGUGCUGAUAAUGCUCCAUGACAGUCCUGGGAACAUUUAAAAUAGGGAGGACCUAAAGAACAGCAGAACAUCCCAGGAUCAAAUCAGAAACUGGGACAGCUUCUGUAAAUCUGGGACUGUCCCUGGGAAUAGGGGCACUUAGGGGGCCUGUUAUCUGGCCUUUGACACCAGAGAGUUGUAUUUUCAAGACUCGCCCUGUUGACAUCCAAUGCCCGUGUGUGUGUGUGUGUGUGUGUGUGUGUGUGGUGGGGGUUAUUGGUUGUAUUUGUUUUUAUUAUGGAUUUUGUAUUUUUAUAUUGUGAUCUUAUCCUGUGAACUGCCCUGAAACCUGUGGUAUAGGGUGGUAUACAAAUUUAAUUAAUAACAACAAUAAUUAUAAUUUAGAUGGCUGUAACUUGCCCUGGGACCUGCAAGUGAAGGAGGGGAAUAAAAUUAAUAAACACGCAAGGAGUGAUUUCUGGUUUUCCGCUGUUCCUCUCUGCCAAAGAGGCAGAGAGGUAGAUUAGAUAGAUAAUGCUCAGUAGGUGCAGGAACAACGGAAGCUUGAAUAUAAAGGGAUAAAUUUCAUUUUACAUACUUGUAAAAAGCUGAACAUGGAUUAAAAGCCAUAUAAGCAAGCUUAGUAGUGUCAGUUGAGAGUAGUGUCAGUUCAAGUGCUGGUGGUUGCUAGGUUGAGGAGUUCCUUGUGACACACCCUUCAUUGUGACACCUCCCUCUGCUAGCUCAUUGGUCACUAGAGCUCUAGAGCAGGGGUCAGCAACCUUUUUCAGCCAUGGGCUGGUCCAAAGUCCCUCAGACCAUGUGGUGGGCUGGACUAUAUUUUGAAAAAAUAUAUGAAUGAAUUCCUUUGCCCCACAAAUAACCCAGAGAUGCAUUUUAAAUAAAAGGACACAUUCUACUCAUGUAAAAACACACUGAUUCCCGGACUGUCCACGGGCUGGAUUGAGAAGGCGAUUCGGCUGCAUCCAGCCCCCAGGUCUUAGGUUGCCUACCCCUGCUCUGGAGGCUGUGGCGUUUGCCUCCUAGGAUAGGUCAUAAGGAAAGGGUUAAAAUGGGUGUGAUGUGAUUGGCCAGUGAGAAUGCAAGGGGGGAGUAAAAGUUAGAGUGGGAGGUUUUGAAAGUCAGUUGAGGUUUGGGAGGUGAAGAAGGAAGAGGGAGGAUUAGGUGUGGGUUGGUCGAGUUGUAUUGUGAGAGAGUGAGAGGAAUUGUUAGGUUGAGUCAGAUAGAUAGUUGGAAUAAUCAGUUUGGAAUUGUUAGGAAUUAAGAUUAAGAAACUGACAAGAGAAAAAAUAAACUGAAACCAUACACUUGUUCCUGCAUUUUAAAAUAAACUUGAUUAUUUGUUAUUGUUAACAACUGUCUGGACUCCGUGUGUCCCCGUGAAAAGCAGGGUGGUGGCAGCGAAGAAAGCAAUCACAAUGGUGGCACAGGGUCAAUAGACCGUCAAACGUCCGGGGGCCCUGUGUGAUCGCCACAGAGGCAUAUCAAUCUCCUUUGGUUUGAUCAUUCAGCGAGUGAGAGGGAAUGGAUGGAGAUGUAAGUAGACUUUCUCAUCAGCAUCUUCAUUCUGUGCUGAUAAUGCUCCAUGACAGUCUUAGGGAACAUUUAAAAGAUUAAGAUCAGGAAUGAUUUAAAUGCUUCAGCCAGCCCUUCUGGGCAUCUUUAUGACUCCACCCACUGUUUUGUAGCAGUGAAGGGAAGUGACUAUGGAUUCUUCUUACACUUUCAGAAAAGGAAAACUAAUAAGAUGUCAUGCCUUGGAAAAGGGCGUUCUUUUUGGGCUAGUGACAUAAGAGUCACUUGAUAACUGGCGAUGGGAACAUUAAGCAUGUCCUCUGGAGAGGGUGAUAUCUUGCAUUGUCUUCCUCCCCUUCCUGCCUCCCAGGGCCCAUCUUUCAAAGAACAGCCAAGGUACGAAACCCUUCAGCAUGCUGAUGUUUCUUCUAUAGUAAUAUUAGCAUGUGGUAUUUGAUGUUUCCCUUUUAAAUGUCCCUUCUCCACACUAAUCAAACCCACCUCUUUCAAUGAGAUGAUGAGAAUUGUCUCAUAAUAUCCCAAGGGUGCUAUUCUGGCUAGAGUAUUCAAGCAGUCUCUUCACAGGAUACGCAUUAUGAUAUGCCUAGGAAAGUGAAUUUAUCUUGAGCUUUGAGUCGUGAAUGCCCAAACCAGUUUAGGGAUGUAGAUCAGGGGAGUACUGUGAGUCCCAUUUCUCAAAUUUUAACAGGCCUUCUCUGCAGUGGCUCCCCAUCUGUGGAAUGCUCUCCCCAGGGAAGUUCGCCUGGUGCCUUCAUUAUACACCUCUAGGCUCCAGACAAAAACGUUCCCUUUUAACCAGGCCUUUGGUCUAUCUGAUUGACACCCAAUGCCCUUUUAAAAUGUGUUGGGGGGAGUUAUUGGGUUGUUUUUAUAUGUUUUGUGGUUUUGGUUUUGUUCUGUGAACUGCCCUGAGACCUCUGGGUAUAGGGCAGAAUAUAAAUUCAAUCAAUCAAUAAACUAACUAACUAACUAACUAACUAACUGUGUUAGC
rnacentral:lncRNA from 1 species